rnacentral:rRNA from 1 species
UACGAAGGGGGCUAGCGUUGCUCGGAAUCACUGGGCGUAAAGCGCACGUAGGCGGAUUGUUAAGUCAGGGGUGAAAUCCUGGAGCUCAACUCCAGAACUGCCUUUGAUACUGGCGAUCUUGAGUCCGGGAGAGGUGAGUGGAACUGCGAGUGUAGAGGUGAAAUUCGUAGAUAUUCGCAAGAACACCAGUGGCGAAGGCGGCUCACUGGACCGGUACUGACGCUGAGGUGCGAAAGCGUGGGGAGCAAACAGG